CAGUCGCCACGGGAACACGGAGGGAGCUAGCGUUGCUCGGAAUCACUGGGCGUAAAGGGUGCGUGGGCGGGUUUUUAAGUCAGAGGUGAAAUCCUGGAGCUCAACUCCAGAACUGCCUUUGAUACUGAAAGUCUUGAGUAUGGGAGAGGUGAGUGGAACUGCGAGUGUAGAGGUGAAAUUCGUAGAUAUUCGCAAGAACACCAGUGGCGAAGGCGGCUCACUGGCCCAUAACUGACGCUGAGGCACGAAAGCGUGGGGAGCAAACAGGAUUAGAUACCCCGGUAGUCCCUGUCUCUUAUAC
rnacentral:rRNA from 1 species